rnacentral:rRNA from 1 species
GAAGAGAAAGAAAAUUCGAUUCCCUUAGUAGCGGCGAGCGAAACGGGAAGAGCCCAAACCAACAAGCUUGCUUGUUGGGGUUGUAGGACACUCUAUACGGAGUUACAAAGGACGACAUUAGACGAAUCAUCUGGAAAGAUGAAUCAAAGAAGGUAAUAAUCCUGUAGUCGAAAAUGUUGUCUCUCUUGAGUGGAUCCUGAGUACGACGGAGCACGUGAAAUUCCGUCGGAAUCUGGGAGGACCAUCUCCUAAGGCUAAAUACUCUCUAGUGACCGAUAGUGAACCAGUACCGUGAGGGAAAGGUGAAAAGCACCCCGGAAGGGGAGUGAAAUAGAACCUGAAACCGUGUGCUUACAAGUAGUCAGAGCCCGUUAAUGGGUGAUGGCGUGCCUUUUGUAGAAUGAACCGGCGAGUUACGAUUUGAUGCAAGGUUAAGCAGUAAAUGUGGAGCCGUAGCGAAAGCGAGUCUGAAUAGGGCGUUUAGUAUUUGGUCGUAGACCCGAAACCAGGUGAUCUACCCUUGGUCAGGUUGAAGUUCAGGUAACACUGAAUGGAGGACCGAACCGACUUACGUUGAAAAGUGAGCGGAUGAACUGAGGGUAGCGGAGAAAUUCCAAUCGAACCUGGAGAUAGCUGGUUCUCUCCGAAAUAGCUUUAGGGCUAGCCUCAAGUGAUGAUUAUUGGAGGUAGAGCACUGUUUGGACGAGGGGCCCCUCUCGGGUUACCGAAUUCAGACAAACUCCGAAUGCCAAUUAAUUUAACUUGGGAGUCAGAACAUGGGUGAUAAGGUCCGUGUUCGAAAGGGAAACAGCCCAGACCACCAGCUAAGGUCCCAAAAUAUAUGUUAAGUGGAAAAGGAUGUGGCGUUGCCCAGACAACUAGGAUGUUGGCUUAGAAGCAGCCAUCAUUUAAAGAGUGCGUAAUAGCUCACUAGUCGAGUGACACUGCGCCGA